AAGUCGUAACAAGGUUUCCGUAGGUGAACCUGCGGAAGGAUCAUUAGCGAAGUUCGGAAUGCAUGUUCGAUGUUGAUGCUGCCCAGCAAUGGGAUGUGCUCGCUCGGAUGUGUGUCCCUUCUCUAUCCACCCCAUUGUGAACCAAGUGUGUGAGCCGAAGAGAAAUCGGAUGCUCGCAUGCAAAUCUUUAACAUACCCCAAUUAAGUAUCAGAAUGUACCUUGCGUUAACUCGCACAAAUAUAACUUUCAACAACGGAUCUCUUGGCUCUC
rnacentral:misc_RNA from 1 species